rnacentral:rRNA from 1 species
GAUGAACGCUGGCGGCGUGCCUAAUACAUGCAAGUCGAGCGAACAGACGAGGAGCUUGCUCCUCUGACGUUAGCGGCGGACGGGUGAGUAACACGUGGAUAACCUACCUAUAAGACUGGGAUAACUUCGGGAAACCGGAGCUAAUACCGGAUAAUAUAUUGAACCGCAUGGUUCAAUAGUGAAAGACGGUUUUGUUGUCACUUAUCGAUGGAUCCGCGCCGCAUUAGCUAGUUGGUAAGGUAACGGCUUACCAAGGCAACGAUGCGUAGCCGACCUGAGAGGGUGAUCGGCCACACUGGAACUGAGACACGGUCCAGACUCCUACGGGAGGCAGCAGUAGGGAAUCUUCCGCAAAGGGCGAAAGCCUGACGGAGCAACGCCGCGUGAGUGAUGAAGGUCUUCGGAUCGUAAAACUCUGUUAUUAGGGAAGAACAAAUGUGUAAGUAACUAUGCACGUCUUGACGGUACCUAAUCAGAAAGCCACGGCUAACUACGUG